rnacentral:sRNA from 1 species
UCCAUGUGUCACCAAAACAGUCCCAUUGGUGCAAACAUGAACAAGAGCACCGGAAGUAUCUUAAAAUCCAGAUUCUAGAUUUGCAAGCAACGGUAGUGCAAUGCUGAGAUUUCCAAACAAGCUUUAUAUUAUUCUUUUAACUUUAAAGUGAAUCCUUUUUCUAGCAAAAUGAGGACAAACUUUUACCAAUUUUCACAUUUUUAGAAAAAUAUUCAACUCACUUUGAUUUCUUAAGGGCUCAGCUGAAUCUAGUUUUCAAUGUCUGCAGAACAAAAUGAAAAUGAAAAUUUUAUUAUCUCAAAAUCCAUUCUAUUUUUUUUUUGUGUGACAUUAAUCAAUGAUUUCAAAAUAACCAAAAACAUACAAAUUUUAUGUUUCAUUCUUAUUAUUAUCAAUUUAUCAUCCUCAUCCUCCCUCAGCUCCUGAAAACUAUGUCGUUUUGGAAAAUGACGAAAAUACCCUUGUAUCUGUAUUGCUAUGUAAACUACUGUUGUUUCAACAAACAUAAAAUUUUGAAAAAGUAAUAAUAAGAAUAAAAUAAUUUAUUUCAUAAUCUAAAAAAAAACGAAUAAUCUAAUAGAUUGAAGGAGGACUUAAUAAUUAGAACAAGGUUAUAUAAUUAGAUAUAUUCUUUUU